UAAUACGAACUGUGCGAACGUUAUUCGGAAUCACUGGGCUUACAGGGUGCGUAGGCGGCUCAACAAGUCAGGUGUGAAAGCCCCCGGCUCAACCGGGGAACUGCGCUUGAAACUGUUAGGCUCGAGUCAGCUAGAGGUACACGGAACUUCCAGUGGAGCGGUGAAAUGUGUUGAUAUUGGAAGGAACACCGGAGGCGAAAGCGGUGUACUGGGGCUGGUCUGACGCUGA
rnacentral:rRNA from 1 species